rnacentral:rRNA from 1 species
CUACGGGAGGCAGCAGUCGAAAAUAGUCUACAAUGGUCGAAAGACUGAUAGUGCGACGCCGCGUGAACGAAGAAGCCCUUCGGGGUGUAAAGUUCUUUUAUAUGUGAGCAGUGGGUUCUAUGUGAACAGCAUGGGAUCAGAGAUAUUAGCAUAUGAAUAAGCAACGGCUAACUCCGUGCCAGCAGCCGCGGUAAU